rnacentral:piRNA from 1 species
GAUAAACUUAUUAGAGGCUAAG